rnacentral:rRNA from 1 species
CCUACGGGUGGCAGCAGUGGGGAAUAUUGGGCAAUGGGCGCAAGCCUGAACCAGCAACGCCGCGUGAAGGAAGAAGGCUUUCGGGUUGUAAACUUCCUUUAUGAGGGACGAAAGAAAUGACGGUACCUCAUGAAUAAGCCACGGCUAACUACGGGCCAGCAGCCGCGGUAAUACGUAGGUGGCAAGCGUUAUUCGGAUUUACUGGGUGUAAAGGGCGUGUAGGCGGGACUGCAAGUCAGAUGUGAAAAUUAUGGGGUCAACCCAUGACCUGGAGUUGAAACUGUAGUUCUUGAGUGAGGGAGAGGCAUGCGGAAUGCCGGGUGUAGCGGUGAAAUGCGUAGAUAUACCGAAGAACACCGGUGGCGAAGGCAGCCUGCUGGACAUUAACUGACGCUGAGGCACGAAAGCGUGGGGAGCGAACAGGAUUAGAUACCCUUGUAGUC